UAUAGCCAGGACUCUGAGCAGUGGCACAUCUGCUCCACAACCCCGCCUAGAGACAAAGGGAUGGCACUUUCUCUGUGGCAGCUCCCAGACUGUGGAACAGUGUGCCUCAACUCAUGAGAUCCUCAUACCUUUUCUCUGUGGCAUAUGAGUCCACUUGAAGGUACUGAAUUACUAUUCAACGCACAGCAUCUGCAAUAAUAAUUUAGAGAGCAGCCUGAAUUUUUCAUGGCAUCGAUUCAAGGUCCUGGGAUCUUUCCUUUGGGAUUUGGGUCCACGCUGCCUCAAUAGUGCAGGUCCUGAGUCCAUGCAUUUGUCCUGCGAUCCUGUAAAUUGCACUAGCCUAUGCUAAACCUACCCUACCUGACUGAUAUCUGGCUACUGUGCACACCAGUGGAGUAAAAGGACACUAUCAGACUCAUGGGACCACAAUGAGAUGAUAGGUGCUCCAUUGUGUGGUGCAUUCUUGUGCUAGAAGUGUCCAAUUGAAAGAGGGUAGAAUGUCAUAAAUGGAUGCACUAUCAGCAGCAUGGCAUAGCUCCACCAAGAAAAUGCUUCAGCUGGUUUUCCCAGAUUCAUGCUGGGAUUAAAGAUUCUGACCACCUUUACAUCACUAUAGAAACUGAGGUUCAUUAGAUCAGGCAAUGCCUACCUGUCUUCAGCCAUGUGGUUUUGGCAAUCAAGUGACCACUGUAGAAUAGAAUAGCCUUUAUUUUCAUUGUAUGAGUACAAUGCAAUUCACUGUGCUUUUUCUGAUGAGCUACAUAGUAAAGUAAAGCAGAUGAGAACUGUAUAUAGAAAGAGAAUUUUUCCCUCUUUUUGGUUAUCGUCAUGGUAUGCUAGGCACCCUGCAGGACACCUACUGUCACAAUCACCUGAUUAUUGAGUGCUUGCACCUGUGCCUUGUUUGUCUUCCCUAUAUAAAGCCCACAGUUACACUCCCCCAGUGCUCUGCAUUACUUGCCUACUGCUCUGUCCAAGAUGCCCUGAUUGCUGCCUGUGCUGCAUCUCAGCAGUUCUACUGCUAGUGAUUAGCAAUUAUAGGGUUUAGCCAGCUCACCGCUUUGGUCUUCAGUUUGUUUCGUUUAUUCUGAAAUAGAGAAUAAAGACACUCCCUCACUACAUUGCUGCUGCCACCACUAAUGCUUGGUUAGUCCAACAACAGAUUAAACCUCUUAUAUCAAGAUAUAGAUUAUAUAUGUAUGUGUUCUCUGUUUGCUGGCCAAACAUUGGCAUAGAAGCAGGUGUGAGUGUGUGUGUGUGUUUGUCUAUAUGGCAAUCACACACCCCAGAGUAGCACAUUAUUUACCACUAGUGUAAUAUUCGUAUAAUUUCUGAUCCAGAUUAUAUUACGUUUUAUAUGCUUUAUAUUAACAUUAACUUUAGAGAAUUAUUUAUAGUCUACAUGCAUUAUGGUGGCUGUGUACCACUCUGCAGUUAAUGGUUGUAACAUAGUAAUAGUAAUAUUUACUUAAGCAAAAGCUAACAAACCUCUUAUUAUAGUAUCCAUAAGUCCAUUUCCAGACAGAUACAUUCUCCCUACUUGAACUGUAAACUACACAGUACUGCAAGAUACUGGUUUGAACUGUAAACUACACUGAAUUUCUUUUGUAUUGUUUGUUAUUAAAUAUCUUCAGGCUAACAUGCAGCAAUGGCAGACUGCCAUCUAGGGGUGAAAUUAUGCUUGAAUGUUUUGUUUCAGUAAGUCUUAAACUUCAUUUAAAGGCAACUGAGACUAUGCUGAGUAUCACCGGACCCAUGCAUGUGCAAAACAUUUGAAAUGCAUUUCCCCAGUUUUUUUUUUUAAUCAAUUAAAUAAUUGAUUUAUAGCUGAAUAUCAUGAACAUGUUUAUACCUAAUUUUCUUACCCAACAUAA